rnacentral:rRNA from 1 species
UUGUUGUGAGAAGUUCAUUAAACCUUAUCAUUUAGAGGAAGGAGAAGUCGUAACAAGGUUUCCGUAGGUGAACCUGCGGAAGGAUCAUUG